UUCUGCCUCUUAAACCUCCAAACUCAAGAACAAGCUCUCUCGCUCUCUCUCUGUCUCGGAGCAUCCCUAUCGUCGCAGAGAUGUCGCUCGGUUACGCAGAGAAGCUUUCUUACAGGAAGGAUGUUGGCACCGUUGGAAUGUCCCAGAUUUUCGACCCGCCAGACCUUUUGCGCCAAAAAAAAACUGUAGAAGAAUGUUCGCUUGAAUUUGGAGUUAAUGCGUUUUGUUUUCGAAGUAGAACUGUAAUUUUGACUACUGAGAUUUCUAGGGUUCGUUUAUAAUAAGAUUCAGCUUCUGUUCUGGCGAUGCUUGUUGUUGGUAGUAGCGUUGUUUUUCGUUGAAGUGUUUGAUGGAAAAUGGAGGUAAACUAAAUCCGUGCUUUUAGUUUGUUUUCGGUUAGGGAUUUCUAGAAGCAGGUUUUUAAUUCCAAUUUUCCGUUAAAAUGCUGCUAAUCAAGGUGGAGGUAUAGAAUUUUGGUGGGGGCGGAUUGAUGAAUUUUAGUGAGAUAGCUGGGGAGUUUUAUGUUCUAAUUGAUAUUAUCUAUUUUAUCAACUUGUAAACAGUUCUCACCAAUUUGCAAGACAUGAUUGCUGUGUAUGGGAUAAAGCUGCGUGUAUAACAUUACGAGAUUUGACAUAAGCUGUGACUGUGAAUAUAGGGAAUGGAAACUGGAGAAGCUUUGCCUGACUUUGAUAAUUUGUAUUUUUUUAUUUCUUUUUCUUUAAGUCAAUUUUUGAUAUUUGGCAUGGAUUAACUGCUGAUACAUAGCUUUUGGAAAGUGCUUGCCAUUGUCUUUCUUAUAAUUCCUUUAGAGAAGUUGGGGAAAAGAGCUGCUCAUGUCUUCCGGUAAACAGGCUUCAUUUAUGGCAUGGUAAAGAUCAAGGGUCAUAUUUUAAUCAAACGGCUUUGCUAUCUACUCUGUGUACUUUAGUUUUGUUCUUUGCAUCACCUUUGGCAUUCCAAAAUAGUGUUAUAUUUUUCUGGGUGCUUCUUAUUACAAAUUAAGCCAUCUUUAAAUCUCUUCUUGUUGACGUGUUAAAUUUUGGUUGCAAGUUUCUUUUGAUAAAAAGUAAGUUACUUGAAAACUGCAAAAUGGUGAAUGGAGUCUUCACCCUCAACUACAAAAAUAAGGAAGAUAAUGGAAUCCUUCAAACAAAAGGUAAACCUCUCUGUAUAGUCGACUACUAUCCUGUUUCUUUCUUGUCAAAAAAAUCCAUGUGAGAUAGAAUGGUGUAGUCAACCAAACAGAAUGCCAAUAGCCAGAUGGGCAGAUCAUCUUCCAAGGAUUUAAAAAAGGAAAAAAAUGUACAGCAGAUGUUGGCUUGACCUGCUAGAAUCCUAGAAUCAUAAAAAAAGACCCCAAACAUUUCUAGCUACUGGAUAACUUACUACACUUACUUAAGUUUAUUGAUGUGCACAUAUAACACCUUACAUGCAUGACCACUCAAAGAAGGUAAUUUAGUGAGGAUCACUAUUUUUCUAGACCACUUGUGAAGGAAUUCCAAAGAUUUCUUUGCAAGAAAGUCCUCCAUAAAAUGUCUGAACAAUAGUUGAGCGCCAUACAUUAUCUU